rnacentral:rRNA from 1 species
GGGAGCUCUCCCAUAUGGUCGACCUGCAGGCGGCCGCGAAUUCACUAGUGAUUAGAGUUUGAUCAUGGCUCAGAACGAACGCUGGCGGCAUGCCUAACACAUGCAAGUCGAACGAAGGCUUCGGCCUUAGUGGCGCACGGGUGCGUAACGCGUGGGAAUCUGCCCCUUGGUUCGGAAUAACAGUUAGAAAUGACUGCUAAUACCGGAUGACGACGUAAGUCCAAAGAUUUAUCGCCGAGGGAUGAGCCCGCGUAGGAUUAGCUAGUUGGUGUGGUAAAGGCGCACCAAGGCGACGAUCCUUAGCUGGUCUGAGAGGAUGAUCAGCCACACUGGGACUGAGACACGGCCCAGACUCCUACGGGAGGCAGCAGUGGGGAAUAUUGGACAAUGGGCGAAAGCCUGAUCCAGCAAUGCCGCGUGAGUGAUGAAGGCCUUAGGGUUGUAAAGCUCUUUUGCCCGGGAUGAUAAUGACAGUACCGGGAGAAUAAGCUCCGGCUAACUCCGUGCUAGCAGCCGCGGUAAUACGAAUCGAAUUCCCGCGGCCGCCAUGGCGCCCGGGAGCAUGCGAC